AUACCAGGAAGUCACCAUAAUAUAUAGAAAGAGUCAAACAGAAAUCAAGUUCAUUUAAAAACCUGCAUCUCACAGGGCAGCUUUCAGUUUGCGAGGGAAUUUCUAAAUCCUCUCGAAAUGUUUGGGAGGAUUCUUAAUUCCUUCGUCUCACUGCAGCAGAGCGGGAGCUGCAUGUUUAUUUUAAACACUAAUGUCUGAAAGGGUUUACAGAAUCGUCUCGGUUUAGUGUCCGUGGGUCAGAAAAUGCUAGAAAUUUGAGAUGAUUUUGGGAGGACUUUGAGACCAAGUUGAAAUCAGGUUAAGACAAAAUAACGACACGUUGUGACUACAUUACAACAUUGCACCACAGGAACAGAGCAGAGCUAAAACACUUUGAUUCCCCUCUAAAUGACACUUGAGCAAGUCUCCAACCAUCAAGGAGAUGCCGACCAGACGCUCACAGCAUCAUGAGGGCCUGAAAAGCUCAAACUUAUUCUGUAUUUAUUCAAAACUCUGAUGCAGGUUUACAUUUGGGUGUAACUUUGUGGGAAAUUCCCUUUUUUUUAACCGUGUCCUGUCUGGCUGUGAAGCAAGCAGAAUUGAUGUCUGAAUGCUGGUAACAAGCCUUACAGACUUACUCUCAGGUGGAGCAUCAAAGUGUCUGCUUUUAAUGUCACGCCUGACAUUCACCUCUUUUUCACCUCUGUCUCCCUGUCUGGUUGGAAUUACAAAGCAUUCAAAAACAAUAACAAUAAAAUUUGAAGUAUCAGGUGGAAAUUCCCAUUUUUAAGAAUAAUUAAUGUUGGAAAAAACACCCAUUUUGCUCUUUUCUCAGUCAGAAUCACGAGGAUCGGGAUAUCGGAUAUCUUAUUAGGGGGAGAAGAACACUUGCUUUUUGUUUUCUGAAGCUUUGUGAAGAAUCAGAGCCUGAAGUGGCGGUUCUGGGUCACAUCCUGAUGAGCAAGAGGAGUCGCUGCAAAAGUUCUGAUUUGGGUUUGUCCACAGAAGAAUUUGGGAUGAUCAAGAGUUCUAGAUGUUGUUUAGGGAUCUUUAGUUCUUCAUCUUCAUUUAUGUAGAAAAAGACCAGAUGUGUUGUUUUUGAGAUCUUUUUGCGUGCUUCCUCUUGUCAUGCAGGUUCAAUUCAAGUGAUUUACAGGUGUGGCCGUGAUCAGGUGUGGCAGUGACCAGGUGUGGUAGAGAUCAAGCAUGUUGUUAACCAGGUAUUUUAUUGAUCAGGUGCGGUAGAGGUCAGAUGUGGUAGUGAUCAGGUGCGGUACCAAUCUGGUGGUAGUGGCUGGUGGAGCUGAGCUCAACUUUAUAAAUAAUCUUGUUAAUUCAUAUUUUAACAACAUGGAAAUUAAUUUGCUGACCUGAAACAAAUGAAAGUGAGUAAAUCUGCGAGGGCGUAAAUGGUUUUUUGCAUCCUGCUUCUCGUUGCAGAAGGCAGCUUAACAGAGAGCAAAGCUGUGAAUUAAAAGGAAAACACAUUUCAAAUGUAAACUCGUGAUUUGGUGAAUCUACCAAAGCUCCACCCUGGUUUGUGGACGCUGGUGUUCCUCUCGGUUGUGUUGAUGUUGGUGUGGUCGGGCCUGAGCACGCUCCGGGCUGCUUCCCUGCUAAAUGAGGGUUUGGCGCGUGUGCUCAGCCACCACCUGCUUCUCUAACAAUCGUGCUGAAAACAAAAAGCCUUGGCAGCAGAUCAGAACAGGAACCACAGAACAAUGGAGCGGGUCUGAAGCACGUCUUGUUAUCGGACCUCAUCUUGGAAGUCCCGGUGAAAAUCAUCUCCAGAUGUCCGCUGCUUUCACCUUAGCCAUGUCUUUUAUCUGUUGCUGCGCUGUGAGCUGUUCAGGUUUCAGUUCGGAUGAACUGGAUCAGUCGGGGCGAGAGACGGCUCCCAGAGGACUCUGACUAUUUCAGAUGUCACCUCCGGACAAAGAGAGGAGUAACGGAGCCGUCUCCUCUGACCAACCAGAGGAGGUCGCGGGUCGGAGUGUUUGGACAAGCUGGAUAUGAAACCAGUACGCAUCAGUUCAGCUUGAAAUUGAAACUUUUUAAUUAAAGUUUAGAAUCAACAUGAUAAAAUAAUCAAGAUGACCAAAACCUUUCUGCACGUUUUUCUGCUUAAUAAACACUAUUUGGUUAUCAAACCUUUGUUUGUGUUGCAAACACAAAUAAAGGUUUAUACAUUUAAACGCAUUUAAAUGAAUCUGAGUAAUGAGGGUAUUUUAUGUAAGAAAACAAAACAAAAAACAUCUAUAAUCGUGCUGCAAAAGGCACGCAGUAACAGAAAAUGUUUUUUCAAAAAGAAUAAAAUCGGUUUGUGUGAAUUUUUAUUUGUGAGAAAUUUGAGAAAUCAUCAGAUUUUCUUUAGACUUCAGUUCUUAACGUUUCUGAUAGUUGUAGUCCCCAGCCUGACCACUAGAUGGCACUAACAGUUUCAAACUGGUCCUUUAAACCAACACAGAAUUUUUGGUGGCUCUUAUUUAGUUUUUAUUACCAAAAAAGCAUCAAGAUUCCUGUCGAAACCGUUUUUCUAAUAGGUCCAGAUAAAAAUAAACUGAAAACAAUCUUGAUGCCCUCUGUUUGUCAAUGUUUAAUUCAAUUAAAAUAAUGUAUUUUUAUGUGAAAUCUCAAAACAGAUCAUAUAUGAUCUUCUCUUUUUUUAUGUCAUAAAUGAUCAUUACGCUCAGACGUGGUUGAGUCAAAUAAAAUGAAACUUUCAGCAGUAAAACAACUAAAAUGCACAACAGGAUAUAAAUGAAUGAGUCAAAUCUUAGGAGGAACCUGAUUAGCUUGUUUCCCACUACGGCAUUUUAAUCAUGAACAGCUUUAAUUUGGACUCAGAUCUGAUUGUUUGGAUUAAACAAGAUUUUGUGUUGUUUUUAUUUACUUUUGUUGACUGAGCCGCUGUUUUCCUGCCCUGUUUACUAGAGCUGUGGUUUAUAAUCUGGGAGUUGGAUUAUAACCUGGGCUUGUGGGCGCUGAAGCUGUUUCUCUGAAGCUUUGCUCUGCUUUGACAGGAAUGAUAUUUGACAGAAAAUCAAAGUGUUUCAGAGGCGGAUGGGCUGAAUGAGCAGCUGACCCGUUCAGCCCAAACCCAUGCGUGUGGGCGGCUCAGCCUGACAUGUGUGCAGACGCUUCCCGAAUCCGUGGAAGCAGCGAGAAGAGGAGGAAGCCUGGGUCCUGCCGGCAGGGAAUCAGGACACCAUCCACUGACCCACUUCUCUUCUGUUACAGAUCCUGUUAACAUGUCAGCGUGCACGUCCUCGUGCACUGUAGCUGCCACACGCUGCUCCUCAUCCUCUUUCAGUCAUCCAUCCUCACGUCAUCAUGUCACGUGUAUUCAUGUGCAACACGGAAUAAUUCAUGUACUCAUCUAAACAUCUCACUUUUAUGAUUUUGAUCACCAUAAUUGAACAAUUUUUAUCUACACAGGAAAUCAUGCAGAGGACGGUUUUGGUCACAA